UACGUAGGGGGCAAGCGUUGUCCGGAAUCAUUGGGCGUAAAGAGCGCGUAGGCAGCCUUGCAAGUCGGAUGUGAAAUCCCUCGGCUUAACCAAGGAAGUGCAUCCGAAACUGCAGUGCUUGAGUACUUAAGAGGAUCGCGGAAUUCCCGGUGUAGAGGUGAAAUUCGUAGAUAUCGGGAGGAACACCAGUGGCGAAGGCGGCGAUCUGGGAAGAUACUGACGCUGAGGUGCGAAAGCGUGGGGAGCAAGCAGG
rnacentral:rRNA from 1 species